UGCUGCGUAGGAUAUCGAGGCAAAAAUACGUUGAAUCCCUUCAUCGACUAUGAGUCCCAAAAGCACUUUAAAGAUACGGAUAUCACUCAGAUCUCGAAGACAGUCACAUUUGUUGUUGUCUAAGUUGAUGGUCCUAUGGCAAGUACCCUCAAUUUUAAAUGCAACUGUACUAAUCUGCAAUUUGAUGAACGUAAUCUGUUCGUUCGUGCUUAUCAAAAAUUUGCCCCUAACAAGUAGCCCAAACACACUUCGAACGUUGAUUUAUAUCUAUGAAGUAUAUAAUGAGAAGAGAACUUAAGCUGAGCAUACGUUUAUACAUAAAAUAAUGCAAUACGCCUUAUUUACUAUUCAUAAUCCACUAUAAAAGUCUAUGGAAACCAAGCAGAAUGAAAGUUAACGUUUAUCAAGCAACUAGGAUUAUGUACUCCGAGUUGUUGGUAUUGGCUAGGAGAAUCUGUUGUACUUGUUGGUCAUCUGCAGCCCUAGCUUGAGUGGCUCGUACUGACUACGAGACGCGUGUAACUAGACGUAUGCUUAACUCUAAGCAAAUCAUAGAAGAUUGAGAGCUCCGAAUGAGCGGUUCAGAAUCGUCGGUGAUGCUCUUGAUUUUUGAAGCGCUGCUAGUGAUAGCUAUCAUAUGGGUUCUCCAACGCAUGAUUCUGUUUGGACAACUUGUUUACUCGAUGCUGUCUGUGCCCCGUAUUCCUGAACGCUUUCCAUUCUCACUGCCUCUCGACCUCAUUCUCGAUAUGAGGAGGAUGAGCCGUUCGGUGAAGAAUAAGCCGAAUGGCCGAGUUCCCCUCACCAAAUUGAAGGCUUACCCACGAAUGUUCUUCAAGCUAUUGGAUACGAUUUUGCCAAAAUAUUACGAUCAACCAGUCAUCGGAUUCUUUUAUGGCCCUGUGGCCUUUAUCAGCGCAGUUACCCCUGAGGCAGCCGAGGCCAUUCUCUCUAGUCCGAAGUACCUUAACAAAACGUUCCUCUACCAUUUCAUGGAACCCUGGUUAGGCAGAGGUCUUCUCACCAAAGAGCGCGUUAGGAAUACAGCUACGUGAGGAUGAUCCAGAACAUAUUGGCUUUUUCAGCAACUGUGAUCAGUGAUUGACCCUCAAAUGGCGGAAAUGCCUCUAAUGUCUAAUGAACAGUACGGAGUCGAUAAGAGCUUUAUGCAUAUCCUACUGAGCACGCUUCGACGCGGACUUAUCGUUAGAGAAGAAGUUUGAGAUCACGUUGCCACUUUCAUCGUUGGGGGUUUUGACACGACCGGAACGUCACUAGCGUACACCUUGCAUCUAUUGGGGAACAACCCGAAAAUAUUCAAGCGCCCGCAGCUUGAAGUGGAUACGGUGUUACAGAACGAAAAAUAACGCUUCAAAGAAGCAGCUUAAAAUGAUGCCGUACCUCGAUGCAGUUUACAAGGUCUGCCAAUAACCGGACAAUAUCACGUAGUAACCUGGCUUGGGGUCGCUGCGACUAUACCUGGUAGUCCCAUUGAUAGCACGCAACCUCGCACGUCCCAUUCGGGUAGGACCGGUUGAUGUUCCCGCUGGACCCACAGUCUUGUGCAUAUCUACCACUUGCACCGUAACCCGUACGUUUGGGACAGACCCAAUGAGUUUGACCCGGAACGGUUUCUUAAGCCCGCUGCGAAAAGG